UCCGGCUUUUCGCCGACAGUCUCUGUAGGGUGCUCAGCUUCACCUGGUAGCAACUACAGACAAGGGUUGCGCUCGUUGCGGGACUUAACCCAACAUCUCACGACACGAGCUGACGACAGCCAUGCAGCACCUCUCCACGAGUCCCCGAAGGGAAAGGCCUAUCUCUAGACCGGUCCCGUGAAGUUCAAACCCCGGUAAGGUUCUUCGCGUUGCGUCGAAUUAAACCACAUACUCCACCGCUUGUGCGGGCCCCCGUCAAUUCCUUUGAGUUUCAGCCUUGCGGCCGUACUCCCCAGGCGGACGACUUAACGAGUUAUCGCCGGCACGGAGGGACUUUGCUACCCCCCACACCAAGUCGUCAUCGUUUACAGCCAGGACUAC
rnacentral:misc_RNA from 1 species